rnacentral:rRNA from 1 species
AUUGAACGCUGGCGGCAUGCUUUACACAUGCAAGUCGAACGGUAACAGGGAGCUUGCUCCGCUGACGAGUGGCGAACGGGUGAGUAAUGCGUCGGAACGUGCCGAGUAGUGGGGGAUAACGCAUCGAAAGGUGUGCUAAUACCGCAUACGUACUGAGGUAGAAAGUGGGGGACCUUCGGGCCUCACGCUAUUCGAGCGGCCGACGUCUGAUUAGCUAGUUGGUGAGGUAAAGGCUCACCAAGGCGACGAUCAGUAGCGGGUCUGAGAGGAUGAUCCGCCACACGGGGACUGAGACACGGCCCAGACUCCUACGGGAGGCAGCAGUGGGGAAUUUUGGACAAGGGGCGCAAGCCUGAUCCAGCCAUGCCGCGUGUCUGAAGAAGGCCUUCGGGUUGUAAAGGACUUUUGUCCGGGAGCAAAUGCCUGGUGUUAAUAGCACUGGGAGCUGAGAGUACCGGAAGAAUAAGCACCGGCUAACUACGUGCCAGCAGCCGCCGUAACAC